UACGUAGGGUGCAAGCGUUGUCCGGAAUUAUUGGGCGUAAAGAGCUCGUAGGCGGUCUGUCGCGUCGGCUGUGAAAACUCGGGGCUCAACUCCGAGCUUGCAGUCGAUACGGGCAGGCUAGAGUUCGGCAGGGGAGACUGGAAUUCCUGGUGUAGCGGUGAAAUGCGCAGAUAUCGGGAAGAACACCCGUGGCGAAGGCGGUUCUCUGGGACGGUACUGGACGCUGAGACGCGAAAGCGUGGGGAGCGAACAGG
rnacentral:rRNA from 1 species